rnacentral:tRNA from 1 species
ACCUGGGUGGCUCAGUUGGUUGAGUAUCUGACUUCAGCUCAGGUCAUGAUCUCAUAGCUUGUGAGUUCGAGCCCCACCUCAGGCU